rnacentral:rRNA from 1 species
AGUUCGUGGAGUGAUCUGUCUGCUUAAUUGCGUUUCACUAAGGGCCUAUAAUUUAACGUGUGUUGCGGCACUUUGACCCCUCGUCUUCCUCCCAUUCAUUUGGUUGGGUCGAGCGCGUGUCUUAGUUUUGUUUAGCUCGCACAAUUAGGUCCUGAAAGCAACGAACGUGACCGCAACCUCUUGUUGCCUUUAUACCAAACACAUUUUUUUAUAAAAAGUUCGCCUUCGGGUGUCUCUUUUUUUAAUUUGUGAAAAAAGGCUUUUUAAACUAGAGGGACCGCUGUUACUUUCUUAAACCAGAGGAAGGUUGCGGCAAUAACAGGUC